AUUAAACUAUAAAAAAAAAUGAAAUACUGAUGCUUUUUCUCUAGAGAUAGCUAACAAAUGAUACUCUUAUAAGUACAUUUGUGCACUGACAUUCUGAACAACUAGAAUAGGAACUGAAGUAUGGAGUAACAUAAUUAUUUUUAAAAAGCUACUCUAGUAUAUACAUAUAUUUAUUGUCGCAAGUAAACAAAACUCCAUCAACUUAUCCAUUUAUAGUUUUAAAAACAAAAAUCAAAAGUAGGCACAAAUGUCACUAAUAUUGUUUUAUAGUGAUCUUCAAAAAUAUGUUCAUUUUCACAUAUUUCAUUCAACUUCUACUUUUUUUUUUAUUUCUGCAUGUGACAUAAUCAAAAGACAAAUAUAUUUAAGCACACAUCACCUGUAUAAGUUACAAUGAGAAUGCAUGAGUUAAUUUUGCUCAAUAAACAAAAGAAAGAGUUGCAAAUGUUUGGACUGAGUUAAAAAAAUAAGCACACACAACCAUUAGCCUAAAAUAAAAUGUAUGAAAUUUACUUAAUAAAGAGUAAAAAAAAAAUCUUGACACAUUUAAAUUGUAAUGAGAGCGUCUUAGCUGUUAUGUAAGACUAUAUUUGUGUGAAUGCCAUAUAUGGUGUAGUAGAGUUAAAAAUGCAAUUUGGUAACACAUUUUUAUACGCCUUCUUGCUAAUCCUUGGCAUUAUAAGUAGUAUCAUGACCUUUUCUCUUUAAAUAAAUCUGCUGUCUUUUCUUUUAUAUCAAACUUCAUUCUUACAAGCAGAUUUCUUUUAUCAACCUACAAUCUGUGCCCUCUGUUGCACUCCAGCCCCAAAGCAGUUUGCAUUUAAUUCUUGGAUAAAACACUUCAAAAUGCACUUAAAAUAGAAUUUUGCUAGAUAUUUU